rnacentral:lncRNA from 1 species
UAGGAUUGAGCCUAAUUGGAUAUUCAUAUGUUGCAUAGGUUGUGUAGUUGGGUUGAGGGUUUAAACCUUUUCAUCGUCUAGGUAUUGUUAACCACAUAUCACAUAUUGAAAUCAUAAUAAGGGAUGGUAAGACCUUUUACUCAUAAAAUAUAAAGGCAUUGUUUCCAAGAUGUCGAGCAUGCCUAGUUUCAUAGAUGUUCAAAUUGGUCACAUUAAAUUAGUUAAUCAAGAUUUUGAAGAUUCCUACUCAUAAUGCUGCCCAUAUUGAAUACCUUUGCCAACAUACCUGAUUAUACCACUCCCACACAUGCGUGAUACUUCUAUUUUUUUUUGCCGGGUUUCUACAAGAAAGUGUCCCUACAAUGUUAAAAGAUUAUGAUCCUGUGACCCAUGGUGACAUCACUUGCUUUCUUGGUAGCAUUUGGCACAUGAGAAGUACUUGCAAACUAAGCCACAGGGAGACAUACAAUUGAUAUCAAUCCCAUAUCCAUCAUCUACCCAAAUUUAUUAUGCUCUACGGUACCUUUUGUACUCCAAUGUCUAGCCCAACUGAUCGUUAUCAGAAUUAGCAUCCAUUUAGCCUGGGUCCCUACUAAUCCUAUUCAUAGUUAAGUAAUAAAUA